UACGAAGGUGGCAAGCGUUACUCGGAAUUACUAGGCGUAAAGGGCAGGUAGGCGGUUUUGAUAAGUCUGUUUGUGAAAGCUCCCGGCUUAACUGGGAGAGGUCAACAGAUACUGUCGAACUUGAGUAUGGGAGAGGGUACUGGAAUUCCUGGUGUAGCGGUGAAAUGCGCAGAUAUCAGGAGGAACACCGGUGGCGAAGGCGACUUUCUGGCCUG
rnacentral:rRNA from 1 species